rnacentral:piRNA from 1 species
UGGUGAUAUGUGUCAAGACUAGAUGCUA